CRGKCGGCAKCUAUACAUGCAAGUCGAGCGGACAGAUGGGAGCUUGCUCCCUGAUGUUAGCGGCGGACGGSUKAGUAACACGUGGGUAACCUGCCUGUAAGACUGGGAUAACUCCGGGAAACCGGGGCUAAUACCGGAUGCUUGUUUGAACCGCAUGGUUCAAACAUAAAAGGUGGCUUCGGCUACCACUUACAGAUGGACCCGCGGCGCAUUAGCUAGUUGGUGAGGUAAUGGCUCACCAAGGCAACGAUGCGUAGCCGACCUGAGAGGGUGAUCGGCCACACUGGGACUGAGACACGGCCCAGACUCCUACGGGAGGCAGCAGUAGGGAAUCUUCCGCAAUGGACGAAAGUCUGACGGAGCAACGCCGCGUGAGUGAUGAAGGUUUUCGGAUCGUAAAGCUCUGUUGUUAGGGAAGAACAAGUACCGUUCGAAUAGGGCGGUACCUUGACGGUACCUAACCAGAAAGCCACGGCUAACUACGUGCCAGCAGCCGCGGUAAUACGUAGGUGGCAAGCGUUGUCCGGAAUUAUUGGGCGUAAAGGGCUCGCAGGCGGUUUCUUAAGUCUGAUGUGAAAGCCCCCGGCUCAACCGGGGAGGGUCAUUGGAAACUGGGGAACUUGAGUGCAGAAGAGGAGAGUGGAAUUCCACGUGUAGCGGUGAAAUGCGUAGAGAUGUGGAGGAACACCAGUGGCGAAGGCGACUCUCUGGUCUGUAACUGACGCUGAGGAGCGAAAGCGUGGGGAGCGAACAGGAUUAGAUACCCUGGUAGUCCACGCCGUAAACGAUGAGUGCUAAGUGUUAGGGGGUUUCCGCCCCUUAGUGCUGCAGCUAACGCAUUAAGCACUCCGCCUGGGGAGUACGGUCGCAAGACUGAAACUCAAAGGAAUUGACGGGGGCCCGCACAAGCGGUGGAGCAUGUGGUUUAAUUUCGAAGCAACGCGAAGAACCUUACCAGGUCUUGACAUCCUCUGACAAUCCUAGAGAUAGGACKUCCCCUUCGGGGGGCAGAGUGACAGKUGGUGCAUGGGUUGUCGUCAGCUCGUGUCGUGAGAUGUUGGGUUAAGUCCCGCACGAGCGCAACCCUUUGAUCUUAGUUGCAGCAUUCAGUUUGGGCACUYUAGUGACUGGCUGCUGACAACCGAAGGAGUGGAAUGASCGUUCAAUUCAUCAUKGCCCCA
rnacentral:rRNA from 1 species